rnacentral:rRNA from 1 species
AGAGCGAACGCUGGCGGCAGGCCUAACACAUGCAAGUCGAGCGCCCGUAGCAAUACGGGAGCGGCAGACGGGAUAGUAACACGUGGGAACGCGCCCUUCGGUUCGGAAUAACUCAGGGAAACUUGAGCUAAUACCGAAUACGCCCUUACGGGGAAAGAUUUAUUGCCGAAGGAACGGCCCGCGUCCGAUUAGCUAGUUGGUGAGGUAAUGGCUCACCAAGGCUACGAUCGGUAGCUGGUCUGAGAGGAUGACCAGCAUCACUGGGACUGAGACACGGCCCAGACUCCUACGGGAGGCAGCAGUGGGGAAUAUUGGACAAUGGGCGAAAGCCUGAUCCAGCCAUGCCGCGUGGAUGAUGAAGGCCUUAGGGUUGUAAAGUCCUUUAACGGGGAAGAUAAUGACGGUACCCGUAGAAUAAGCCCCGGCUAACUUCGCGCCAGCAGCCGC